CACCCUCCCCUGCAUUGCUGCCAUUAGCUCAGUCCCUCCUACGUGAACAGCUACUACUGAUUCAGCAUCCACUAAGUACAAGCCUUUGAAAACCACUUUAUUUCAAUUAUCUCGUGGCAUUCCCAUAACAACCAUCUGGGACAGGUGCACUACAACCACGUCCACCUUACAGAUGAGAAACCGAGGUUCAGAGAGUCUGAUUCACUUGCCCAGGGUCUCAUGGUCUUUACCAUGUUGCCCAAUCUUAGAAAGGUGGCGAAAAAAGUUAACUGGCUGGUAACAGUGGACGCACUGAAUCUGAAAACAAAGCCAGCCCCAUUCUGGGCCAGGGAUAGUGGACAGGACCACAGGGAUGAGACCAGGAGACAGAGGAGGCACAGGAGCUGCCGAGGAGCAGAUCCUCGGGGUGCCCAGCAGAAGAGGAUUGAUCAGAACAGGGCAGGUACACAGGCAAACCCCAGCUCAGUGUCAGCAGCCGGAAGAAGAUUAAGGUCAGGAAGGCAGGUAAAGGUGCCAUGAGCCCCUGCUCACCCAGCAGCUGUGAGCAUCCUCUGGUUUGAUACAGAAGUCAGGUAAGAAUUUCAAACUGGUAUAAAACUUUGUCAUCAGGUAAUGUACUGUCUUCUCUCUUUUCCCCUUCCCUGUUUAUUUUUUCCAUAGCCCUUCUCACCAUCUAACAUACUAUAUAUCUUGUUAGUUUAUACCUCUCUUUCCCUGAUAGCAUGUACACUCCUGAAGGGUAGGGAUUUUUUUUUUUCCCUGUCCACUGCUAUAUCCCCAGCACCUAGAGCAAUGUUUGGCACUUAAUUAGCACUCAAAAAAUAUUUGUUGAAUGAAUAAAUAUGCAACAGUCAUGUCGCGACAGGGUUUCCCAGGCAUUGUGUGCCUCCACUGCCCAGCUGAUCUGCCCUGAGUGUGGUGAUGUCACCUCCUGCUAUCAGGGCUCCAUCCUGCAGUCACUGAUUCCUGCAGUGUGAACAGUCAGGGAGAGGAUGCACGGGGACUCUAGGAGGCAGGAUCAAAAACCAGAUGCUGAGCACCUUGUUCGUGCUCAGCAAGUCAAAAAAGCAAAGGUCACGGUGGCAGAUGUAUACACUGACCAAAACUCAAUUUACCUCAUUAACGUUGAUUAAAAGAAUGAAAGAUGGACUCUCCUCCCUCCUCCACAGUGCCUGGAACCAUCCUGAAGCCCCAGGGACUCAGUUCCCAAAGGGCUCCCCUCCAUUCUGAUUCUGUUGUAAGAAGGAAAAAAAAAGAGGGAUUAAAGAGACACCCCCUCUCCAGAUCCUCAUAUUCGAAAUCUUUAGUGAAGCCAUCAAACAAUCAGAUGUCGUGACUUUUAUUUUUCAACAGCUUUCAACUCAAGAAAGUGCUAAAGUCAUGUCUAAGGUCAGUGGAACUAUUUGUUGUGGGGAAUUUUACUGAGGGGAAAAGUUUCCAUCUCCCCGGGCAUCUUUUUUAAAGAGUCUUGGUCAUCAAAGUCAUCCUGCAAAACCCUUGACUUCUGAGGGAAGGCGAGCAAUCCUUCUGGUCUCGUGUUUGAUGGACAGGAUGUUGGCUUUACAUUAAACACAUGUGGCAGCAAGAAUGCUCUUCACGUGCAGCUUGCUCACUUCGUUGAAAUCCAAGGCAUGCCUGGCAGGUUUGUGCCUGGUUUAGAACACUUAGAGCUUAAUCACCUUUUGAAACCAGGCUGCAUCUUUGCAGAUGUCUUCACUUUACUGACUUUAGUCAGACAUCUGCCUGUGAGAAAAUGUGAUGUGAGUUACAGCAGUCCACCUCAAGACAUAGCUUUCAAGAAUGCCAUUGAUUCUGAGAUACACUCUGGAUUUAUUGACUGAGUUUGGGGCAAAAAACACAACCAGAUUAAAUAUACUCAUUGAUUGUAAAAUGUCUUUCCAGGAAUGUUUAAAUGUGAACAAGAAUGUUUAUUAAAAGAGGAAAUUCGGGAAUGUUAGGCUCCAUUGUCAGAUGGGUAAGAAAGGGUAAAAAAGAUUAAGUGAUUCACCCAAAGCAACUCUGAAGUCUCCACUAUUCUCUUCACCAGAAGACAACACUGCCUACCACGGUUUGUAUGAGCGUUAAGUAUGAAACUUUGCGAUUAAUGGCUUUGAUGGAAAUUAGGAGGUAAAUGCACUGGGCCAAAAAGUGUUAUGUAUCUGUGUACCCUCUCCUGGAGGGUAGCCACCCUUUUUGAUGAGGUAGAUGUGUUCUCUGCAGGGACUGGGGUGGAUUUCCUGAAAACCUUAUUUUUCAAAUGAGAACACCCUACAAAUGUGGAAGAUCUUUCUCUUCUUGCCCAUCAUCCUUGUGAGUCAAAGGAAGCUGCAAGACAGAGGCUGUUCAGGACCAAGAGACAAUUUACACAGACGGGGGGACUCGGUCAUAAGCCGUGAUGCAGGGAAAAGGGGAAGAGAGGUGUGGGUUCAGUCUCUCAGUUCAUCCACUCAUUUACUCCUACUUUGUUUCCCUUGGCAAAUAUUCACUGCUGCUCAUUUAGUACCAGGUUCUCUGCAGGGUGCAGAGGAAAUUAAACAGCCCCUACCCGCAAGGAACACAGACGUAGAAGCAAAAACUGGUUAGCCGUUCCUUAUCUAUUAAUUCAACAAAUAUUUAUUGAGUACCAAACACUGGAGAAACAGCAAGAAAGAAGUCAAACAAGGUCUCAUCCUCAUGGAGUUUACAGGCUAGUGGUGGGGGACACAGAUAUUAAACUCGUAAUUGUACAGGUCAUUAAUUAAUUGCCAUUGUGGCUACUACACAGGAGAAGGAGAGAGUGCCAGCAGUCUAUUACAGGGGUGGUGGUGGAGAAUCAGCAGGAAACCAGGAGAGAGCAGAUCAGGAAGAAAGUGACAGUGAGGAAGGACUCCAGAGGCAACACCUGAGCCCAGUGGGUGCCAGCAGGACUCAGAUCAGAGGCAAGCCAGGCCCACCCAGAGGCUGGGCAGGUGAGACAGGAGGACAGGAGAGAGCAAGCUCUCUCUCCAGGAAGUGAGAAAAGGCUUCUCGAAAAUGGGUGGAGGCUCUUGAAGCCAUCUUUCCUCCCUUGCUUUCUUGCUAACCAAGAAUAAUUAUUGUGUGUGCCGUGCUCUAUGAUGGUCAUAUUUACCACUGAGGUCGGUGUCAUCACCCUCUAUACAGAUGACGAGGCCAAAGCUCAGCAGGGCGAGUGCCUGGCCCCACUUCAGAUCACAGAGCCCUUGUGRGGCUGAGUUACGGCAGUCCACCUUGUGGGGCUGAGUUACGGCAGUCCACCUUGUGGGGCUGAGUUACGGCAGUCCACCUUGUGGGGCUGAGUGGGGACGGGGACCCGGAUCCGCCUCACUGCUUAGCCAUAGCACUCUACUGUCCACCCUUGGCUGUGGGAGGGGAGGCCACACAUCGCACCCCUCAGCCUAAUUGCCCUUUAACAGAUGAAGAAGAAAGGCUCCCAUCACACAGGCAGUGAGGACCAGAGGAGUCUCCCAGGAAGACUGCUCUUCCCGGACUGGGUGGAACACCUACUCUACUCUGCAGAGCUGGCCAGGUGGAAACCUGACCCACUAGGAUGUUCUAUAAUAGAAGUCAUUGGACAGCGUGGGACUGUUUGGAGAGGCUGACUCCCCCUGCUGGCCCCACACUACUCAGGAUAUUCGUGACUUACGUGUGUCAAGACUCUGACAGAUGCCAACAGACAAUAAGCUUUGCCAGACUCUGGGGAUUUCAAAGUGGACCUGAGCUUUGGCAGAAAGGGUCCCCUUGUGGAAGCCAGAAGAAGGAGAGGCUGGGAUCAGAUAACCUGGCUAUCCUGACUCUCUAAGUGCUCAGGAAUCUGGAAUAGAUGAGAAGUGGAGAUUUGGGCCCUAUCUGUCCAAGAAAGGGAAGAAGAGGAAAGGAGGGGAAAGGAAUUAACUUUUACAAGCACUUCUACACUAUCUCAGUUAACACAUGACGUGGAGGGGAAGCUGGAAGAUGUGUUUAGCCAUGUACCUUGGAAGAAGAGAAGGCAGAACACAGAUAUUGGCUUAACACCAGCCGCCAAUGUUGCAUACCUCCAUUAUGGCAAAACCCCUCCUUGACUGGAUGAAAUAUGACUUUUAUCAUUUCAUAAAUACCGCUAGGGAAACUGGGUAACUGUGGAAUGAGGCCCAUACAUCACCCUCUA